rnacentral:rRNA from 1 species
CUGACAUGCGUGCGAGUCGACGGGUUCUGAAACCUGGGAUGCGCAAGGAAGCUGACGAGCGGGAGGCCCUCACGGGCCGCACCGCUGGCCGACCCUGAUCUUCUGUGAAGGGUUCGAGUUGGAGCACGCCUGUCGGGACCCGAAAGAUGGUGAACUAUGCCUGAGCGGGGCGAAGCCAGAGGAAACUCUGGUGGAGGCUCGAAGCGAUACUGACGUGCAAAUCGUUCGUCUGACUUGGGUAUAGGGGCGAAAGACUAAUCGAACCAUNNNNNNNNNNN